GGUCUGAGGUACACGAAUCACAUUUGAGGCUCAAAGCUAUGGGUAAGCUUGCACGACAAAGUAAAGCCCUAUAACUAUCCGAAAUAGCUAGAGUAAAUGUGGCAGAUAGAUGAGGUGAAAGUGCGUGUU
rnacentral:misc_RNA from 1 species